GCCCAUGAUUGGAACUCAGAGGAAUCCAGCACCUGUGAAUCCUGAAGCCCAAGUAGAACAACUGUCCAGUGGAUCACUUUGUCCCAUCCUCUCAUAUCCAAGGAUCCAAGGAGGCAGGGCCCAACCUUGACGGGGUGUACUCUGGAAGCACUCAGGCCUGGGGGCUGGCUG
rnacentral:lncRNA from 1 species